GGAAGAUUUGGCGUUGCUUGACAACAGUUUGAGGCAGGAUAAAGAGCUCCAGCAACGAUUUCUUCGGUUUUUGGCAAUCAAAUGUGGGAGGGACCUAAAGACAACCGUGUGGCUGAAUGCUUCAGAGUAUCUUCUCUAAUCACCUUUCCAUCAAUACAACCUGGACUGGUGUAGGGGAUAAAGCAUGUUUUAGAGACAUGUUCCUGAAGACCAUUGUUCAAAGAGCCAUCCGGAAGAACCCUGCAACCCAGGAUGCCACUGAUGAGGCGAUCCAGGUUAACGUUACGCGUUACCUGAAAGGAGCAUCUGAACAUGAAGGUGGAAAAAGGCGCCGCACAGCUGAGAGGGACCCACAGCCGACCCCUUAAACCUAGGCUGACUACUGACACCCCAGCAUCACUGACAACUGGAACCCUUUCUUUAUCCUGCAGUCAGUAACAUCAAGACCCCUAAAAAAGCCUGCUAAAAGGAGAGACUACACUCACCCAAUCCACACUGUUCACUGUGGAAAUUGCUUUUUUUUUUUUUUCUCUCUCGUGACCCUGCUUUGAGGGCAGCUCCUUGGAUGAAUAUGGGAUGGUUUGUCCUUUUAUACAGGCGCACGAGGAAUCACUGAAGAUAUGCCAAUUUGCACUGCCUCAUUCUGGA